UACGUAGGUGGCAAGCGUUGUCCGGAAUUAUUGGGCGUAAAGCGCGCGCAGGCGGCCCUUUAAGUCUGAUGUGAAAGCCCACGGCUCAACCGUGGAAGGUCAUUGGAAACUGAAAGGCUUGAGUACAGAAGAGGAAAGCGGAAUUCCACGUGUAGCGGUGAAAUGCGUAGAGAUGUGGAGGAACACCAGUGGCGAAGGCGGCUUUCUGGUCUGUAACUGACGCUGAGGCGCGAAAGCGUGGGGAGCAAACAGG
rnacentral:rRNA from 1 species